GUUCCAGAUUCUACUUCAGAUGCUUACAGAAAGCAGAAAGCAGAAAGAAUACACCAGUCGACUAAUGGUACCCAGUCGACUGAUUGUGGUCAAUGUAAAGAACGAAGUAUAAAGGACGAAGCAUAUUACAGGAGUGGAUACUUAGUGGAAGGGUAUUAUUUAAUGUAAAUUACAUUUUUAAUGAGACAUUCGAUUGGCUUUUUAUUAUUGAAUUAGAGUAUAACAGUGAAAUAUGAAAGUUUUGAAUGGCACAACCUUGCAUCAUAGUUGAUGAAAGGAACAAUUAUUCAUAGAAAAUAUAACAUUGAGUUACAAAUUUUACCCAGUAAUGUAUGUAUAUAUCGCAAACUGUAUCAAUUACAACAUAAUAUAGCAAGUAUUUAACUUAUACGUAGUGGGAUAAGUCUUCACACAUACAUAUAAUAGUCCACCAAAUUUUAAACAUGCUUGUAUUUAACUAUUUAAUGUUUCACUAAAUCUGUAAAUGGCAACCUA